UACGGAGGUCCCUAUCGUUGUUCGGAAUCACUGGGCGUAAAGGGUGCGUAGGCGGCGUAGUAAGUUCGAUGUGAAAUCUCCAGGCUUAACCUGGAAAUGGCAUUGAAUACUGCUAUGCUAGAGUCCUGGAGGGGGGAGUGGAAUGCCUGGUGUAGCAGUGAAAUGCGUAGAGAUCGAGAGGAACACCAGUGGCGAAGGCGGGUCCCUGGUCAGGUCCUGACGCUGAGGUACGAAAGCUAGGGGAGAAAACAGG
rnacentral:rRNA from 1 species